rnacentral:rRNA from 1 species
AUGAACGCUGGCGGCAGGCCUAACACAUGCAAGUCGAACGGAGUUAUAUUGUAGCUUGCUAUGGUAUAACUUAGUGGCAGACGGGUGAGUAAUGUAUAGGAAUCUACCUAGUAGUACGGAAUAAUUGUUGGAAACGGCAACUAAUACCGUAUACGCCCUACGGGGGAAAAAUUUAUUGCUAUUAGAUGAGCCUAUAUUAGAUUAGCUAGUUGGUGGAGUAAUAGCCUACCAAGGCAAUGAUCUAUAGCUGAUCUGAGAGGAUGAUCAGCCACACUGGAACUGAGAUACGGUCCAGACUCCUACGGGAGGCAGCAGUGGGGAAUAUUGGACAAUGGGCGAAAGCCUGAUCCAGCCAUGCCGCAUGAGUGAAGAAGGCCUUUGGGUUGUAAAGCUCUUUUAGUGAGGAAGAUAAUGACGGUACUCACAGAAGAAGUCCUGGCUAACUCCGUGCCAGCAGCCGCGGUAAUACGGAGAGGGCUAGCGUUAUUCGGAAUUAUUAGGCGUAAAGGGCGCGUAGGCGGAUUAGUAAGUUAAAAGUGAAAUCCCAAGGCUCAACCUUGGAAUUGCUUUUAAAACUGCUAAUCUAGAGAUUGAGAGAGGAUAGAGGAAUU